AUAAGCAGGAAAAAGUGAUAAGAUGGAUCAAAGAGGUUGAAAUUAGAAAUAAAGUAACUUUUACUAUCUCUCCUUCAGAUACCAAAACAAGUAAGAUAGAGAGAAGCAAAAACGUAAUAUUUAGUUAUUCAAGACCUGUUAUAAUAUGUUAAUAAGGAAACGUUAAGCCAAGGUCAAACAAAUUUGCACAAGAAUAUUUGCAACAAAAGUAUUACAUCAUGUUGAAAAUGCAAGCAUCAAGUACCGAGUGGUAUACAUUUCCAAAUUCUCAAAGGCCUAGAGUCAUGCUUGUGAUUAGAACCUGUCAAAACAACAAAUGCUAUUCAAAAUCAGUUGAUAAUAGAUGUUUGCAUUAUAGGCGAGUAUAUGCGAAUAGACAAUGUAAAAAGAGAGAAACAAGACACCUUAUAAAAGACUUCAUAGUUUACACUUAAGAAUUCAAGUUUUUCUCACCUCAAUGCACAACUCACAUUCUCUCACCUCAAUCCACCUCAGUGACCAAUUUAUGUGCCGUUUCAACUACACAAUUUCCUCUAUUGUAAAAUUUUCCCACUCCAUCAAUUUUCUCUAACCGCCUCACAUGUUCAGAGGGAGACACACGAAUCUCUCACCCUCUCACUAUAACUACACACGAAAGAGGAUGAUGGACUGGAAUUUUUGGGACUCGGCAGAAAACCCCCCAUACACCUUCACAAAAAGCUCAAGCACCCUACACUUAUUCAGUUUUUUCACAUUGAAACUCUGCAAUAAGUUGAGCUAGACCUAAGCAUAUUCCAUACAACCAUAAUCACGCAGCGACAAAAGCACAAAAAUAACAAUACAGAGACUGAGCACACAAAGAGAAAGGGCAAGAGAUUGGAGGAAGAAGAAGAAGAGAUUUGUACCUGCUCGGAGCUAACACCGUUGUACGGGAGCUACAACUACCGUCGAAAACCUCAUGCGUCGGUAUAAUUGUCGGUUUAUUUCAUUUUUCUUGUUGAUUUGUGUUUCUGAGAAUGAUUUGAAUAUUUUUCCUAAGUAAAUUUGUGGUAAUGAGGUUUAAUAUGGGGAAAUAGCAACAUGUAAAAAAGAGAAUAGUGGGCCUCUGUUUUGCUUGGCCCACACGGUUUUUGCUUAUGCACCACCUUGUUUCACUGAUCUCACCCCAUUGGGCCUUCUUU
rnacentral:lncRNA from 1 species